CCCGCUCAAGAAACUUAAAUAGAAUUGACGGGGCCCGCACAAGCGGUGGAGUAUGUGGUUUAAUUCGAUGCAACGCGAAGAACCUUACCUGGUCUUGACAUCCCGGAGACCCUUAGGAAACUAGGGGGUGCUUCCAUCUGGAAGAAUCUGGAGACAGGUGCUGCAUGGCUGUCGUCAGCUCGUGUCGUGAGAUGUUGGGUUAAGUCCCGCAACGAGCGCAACCCUUGCCUUUAGUUGCCAGCAGUUCGGCUGGGCACUCUAAAGGGACUGCCGGUGUUAAACCGGAGGAAGGUGGGGAUGACGUCAAGUCCUCAUGGCCUUUAUGACCAGGGCUACACACGUACUACAAUGGCCGAUACAAAGGGCAGCGACACUGCGAGGUGAAGCCAAUCCCGUAAAAUCGGUCUCAGUCCGGAUUGGAGUCUGCAACUCGACUCCAUGAAGUUGGAAUCGCUAGUAAUCGUGGAUCAGCAUGCCACGGUGAAUACGUUCCCGGGCCUU
rnacentral:rRNA from 1 species